CCAAAGUUUUAAGACACCAGAGGGGUAAUUGCGGGAUUUCAUAGAUACUUUUCAUUGACUGACUGACGCAUGCUCUCCUUCACCGCCCUCACAAUCAAGUCAUGCAUUGAAUAUCUCGUCUCUUCCUUCCCCUAACGGAUCAAAACCCUAACAAUUCAUAAACUUCAUCUCAUCAGCUCCUAUCUGUGAUUAUUUCAAUUCUUUCCCCCAACAGAGAUACACUUGAAAUCGAUGAAUGGGUGUAGAAAUCGAUCAAAUGGUACCUGUAAUUGCACUCGGUUUGGGUUAGUUUCGAGAAUGGGAGAAGAAUUGAAGAUUGAUCCGUUUCGUGGGUGACUUGGUGCGCAUAUCUAAGGCCCGUGACAACCGGAUCAACUACUGUUCAAGUUGAGAAUAUUGAAAGAGCAAUCGAGAGGCAAAGAGUCGUUCAAGAGCACCUUCAUCUGUCGUCCUUCGAUUUUUCAAUCUCUUUUCCAAUUGAUCGUGACGAUGAACAGAAGAAACUGUUGAUGUUGAAUGAUGAUGAGUCCACACCAAAAGAUAAAGGUUAUGGUUGGGGACCAAAAUGUCGGAAUUAUUGGAUUAAUCAGAUUUUUAAAAGGGUUGCUACAUAAAAGUUAAUGGCAACUGCAGACCUCAACACACUUGCAUAGAAGUUGUUCGUUUCGGCUCACACUAUCUGAGAAAAUCCAACAUUCAACAUUAAUCAAUAAAAAGGUAACUUUAACAACUUACAAGCAAUUGAACAUCAACAAUUUUGCAAACGAUCUUAGGAGAUAGUCCAAAAGAAGGAACAAUUUUACAUUAAUUAUAAUGAUCGACUUAAAUUGAUUCUAUAUGUGAAUUAUUUCUAUCCAAGUUUUUAUUUAUGGUUUGUUAAAAAUCAUCAUGUUCCCCGCUGCGGAGUGCAAGUCCUCUCGGCUCUGGACCAGUUCCGUGCAACUGAACCCAACGUUUUCUUUGCCGACUUCUCUUUUGUUGUUCACAGGUUCUUUGUGUCUGACGAUGCCAAAUCAACAGUGACGAUGGCAACAAUGCGACCAAUGGCGAUGACAGUGUUGUUGUCAUCAAGGGGGUUGUAUCUCUGUAUAUACAUGCCCGCAACCUCUGUAUUUUCCUGUCUUUGUUCAUAGCAGGAGCUUUUUUAUCCAUUAUUGUAAUUGGUGUGCUCGAUCUAUAUCCUGUCUUUGCAUUAGAUAACUUCACCACUAGGUAAACGUCCGUAUCCUGCUAAAUCAAUUGAUGUUGUUUUACAAUAGCAAUUCUUAAUUGAUUUGUAGGAGUUUUUUAGAUUUGGGACUAAGGGCUCUUGAGUUCCUACAAU